UACGAAGGGGGCUAGCGUUGCUCGGAAUCACUGGGCGUAAAGCGCACGUAGGCGGUUUGCUAAGUCAGGGGUGAAAUCCUGGAGCUCAACUCCAGAACUGCCUUUGAUACUGGCGGACUUGAGUCCGGGAGAGGUGAGUGGAACUGCGAGUGUAGAGGUGAAAUUCGUAGAUAUUCGCAAGAACACCAGUGGCGAAGGCGGCUCACUGGCCCGAUACUGACGCUGAGGUGCGAAAGCGUGGGGAGCAAACAGG
rnacentral:rRNA from 1 species